rnacentral:rRNA from 1 species
GAUCAUGGCUCAGGAUGAACGCUAGCGACAGGCUUAACACAUGCAAGUCGAGGGGCAUCAUGAGGUAGCAAUACCUUGAUGGCGACCGGCGCACGGGUGAGUAACGCGUAUGCAACCUGCCCGGAUACCGGGGUAUAGCCCAUGGAAACGUGGAUUAACACCCCAUAGUACUUUUAUCCUGCCUGGGAUGGGAGUUAAAUGUUCAAGGUAUCGGAUGGGCAUGCGUCCUAUUAGUUAGG